GGACAUGAGUGUGUACCAACAGUCCAAAUUAAACUUUGAGAUUCGACGUCCUCAUUACUGCCAACACUACCCUGACCCACCUGUUGAUCUCACGUUCCAUCCUUCCCUCACUUGUGAACAAGACCCGGGGUACUUAAACGUCUUGGGGCAGUAACUCUUCUCCAACUCACAGAGGGCACACCAUCCUUUUCUGACUGAGGACCGUGGCCUCGGACUUGGAGGUGCUGAUCUCCAUCUCAGCUGCGAUCCGUCCCAGUGCAAGCUGGAGGUCACAGCUUGAUGAGGCCAAAAAGACCACAUCAUCUCUAAAAAGCAGAGAUGUGACCCUGAGGCCCCCAAACCAGACCCCCUCCUCCCCCUGGCUGUGUCUAGAAGUUCAGUCCAUAAGAUUAUGAACAGAAUCGGUAAC